rnacentral:rRNA from 1 species
CCUACGGGCGGCAGCAGUGAGGAAUAUUGGUCAAUGGGCGCGAGCCUGAACCAGCCAAGUCGCGUGAGGGAUGACGGUCCUACGGAUUGUAAACCUCUUUUGCCGGGGAGCAAGCGUGCGUUCGUGAACGCGCGUCGAGAGUACCCGGAGAAAAAGCAUCGGCUAACUCCGUGCCAGCAGCCGCGGUAAUACGGAGGAUGCGAGCGUUAUCCGGAUUGAUUGGGUUUAAAGGGUGCGUAGGCGGGAUGCCAAGUCAGCGGUAAAAUUGCGGUGCUCAACGCCGUCGAGCCGUUGAAACUGGCGUUCUUGAGUGGGCGAGAAGUAUGCGGAAUGCGUGGUGUAUCGGUGAAAUGCAUAGAUAUCACGCAGAACUCCGAUUGCGAAGGCAGCAUACCGGCGCCCUACUGACGCUGAGGCACGAAAGCGUGGGUAUCGAACAGGAUUAGAUACCCUGGUAGUC